GUUUUCCCCUCCUUGCUCGAAAUUCAAUUCAGAGCCUCCCUGUGGCCAUAUCGGAGCAAAAGGGAUGGUGGAUGAGCUGAAAACUGCGGGUAAAGCCCAGUGGAACAGCUGCGGCCAAAACCCUAAACCCUUUCCAAUGACUCCCAACCCGUUUCCCAUUUCACACAAUAUUUUGACUAUUAUGUUGAUCGUCUCUUUUUGUGCAAGUUAGCCAAAAAAGAAACCCCAGCCGCGAAGGAGAACUGGCAGAGCCGUCACACUCGGAGACCCCCCCUCGUUG
rnacentral:lncRNA from 1 species